CCUUGAAAUACCACCCUUUAAUGUUUGAUGUUCUAACGUUGACCCGUGAUCCGGGUUGCGGACAGUGUCUGGUGGGUAGUUUGACUGGGGCGGUCUCCUCCUAAAGAGUAACGGAGGAGCACGAAGGUUGGCUAAUCCUGGUCGGACAUCAGGAGGUUAGUGCAAUGGCAUAAGCCAGCUUGACUGCGAGCGUGACGGCGCGAGCAGGUGCGAAAGCAGGUCAUAGUGAUCCGGUGGUUCUGAAUGGAAGGGCCAUCGCUCAACGGAUAAAAGGUACUCCGGGGAUAACAGGCUGAUACCGCCCAAGAGUUCAUAUCGACGGCGGUGUUUGGCACCUCGAUGUCGGCUCAUCACAUCCUGGGGCUGAAGUAGGUCCCAAGGGUAUGGCUGUUCGCCAUUUAAAGUGGUACGCGAGCUGGGUUUAGAACGUCGUGAGACAGUUCGGUCCCUAUCUGCCGUGGGCGCUGGAGAACUGAGGGGGGCUGCUCCUAGUACGAGAGGACCGGAGUGGACGCAUCACUGGUGUUCGGGUUGUCAUGCCAAUGGCACUGCCCGGUAGCUAAAUGCGGAAGAGAUAAGUGCUGAAAGCAUCUAAGCACGAAACUUGCCCCGAGAUGAGUUCUCCCUGACUCCUUGAGAGUCCUGAAGGAACGUUGAAGACGACGACGUUGA
rnacentral:rRNA from 1 species